rnacentral:rRNA from 1 species
CCUACGGGAGGCAGCAGUGAGGAAUAUUGGUCAAUGGGCGCAAGUCUGAACCAGCCAAGCCGCGUGAAGGAAGACGGCCCUACGAGUUGUAAACUGCUUUUGUAAGAGGGUAAAGGCAGAUACGCGUGCCUGUCUGAAAGUACCUUACGAAUAAGGAUCGGCUAACUCCGUGCCAGCAGCCGCGGUAAUACGGAGGAUGCGAGCGUUAUCCGGAUUUAUUGGGUUUAAAGGGUGCGUAGGCGGUCGGAUAAGUUAGUGGUGAAAACCCGAGGCUCAACUUCGGAAUGGCCUCUGAUACUGGUCGUCUAGAGAGUAGUUGCGGUAGGCGGAAUGUGUGGUGUAGCGGUGAAAUGCUUAGAGAUCAUACAGAACCCCGAUUGCGAAGGCAGCUUACCAAGCUACUUCUGACGUUGAGGCACGAAAGCGUGGGGAUCAAACAGGAUUAGAUACCCGUGUAGUC